GCGGGAGGGCAGGCGGCAGCAGCCAGCCGGAGCUCCAGGACCGGAGCUGCGGUGCCACUAUGUCCGACACCGAGAAACUCAACUUAGACUCUAUCAUCGGGCGCCUGCUAGAAGUGCAAGGCUCGCGUCCUGGGAAGAAUGUCCAGCUGACCGAGAACGAGAUCCGUGGUUUGUGCCUCCAGUCCCAGGAGAUCUUCCUGAGCCAGCCCAUUCUUCUGGAAGUUGAGGCACCCCUCAAGAUAUGCGGUGACAUCCACGGCCAGUACUAUGACCUCCUGCGGCUGUUCAAAGUACGGUGGCUUCCCGCCAGAGAGCAACUACCUCUUCCUGGGAGACUACGUGGACCGGGGCAAGCUGUCCCUGGAGACUAUCUGCCUGCUGCUGGCCUACAAGACAAAGUACCCAGAAAACUUCUUUCUGCUCCAUGGGAACCACAAGUGUGCCAGCAUCAACCGUAUCUGUGGCUUCUAUGAUGAGUGCAAGAGACGCUACAACAUCAAACUGUGGAAAAUGUUCACCGACUGCUUCAACUGCCUGCCCAUCGCGGCCAUUAUGGACGAGAAGAUCUUUUGCUGCCACAGGAGGCCUGUCCCCUGACCUGCAGCCCGUGGAGCAGAUUCCGCGCAUCAUGUGGCUCACAGACGUGCCCGACCAGGGUCUGCUUUGGUCCGACCCCGACAAGGACGUGCAGGGCUGGGGCAAGAAUGACCGUGGAGUCUCCUUUACCUUCGGGGCUGAGGUGGUGGCCAAAUUCCUGCACAAGCAUGACCUGGACCUCAUCUGCCGGGCGCACCAGGUAGUGGAAGAUGGCUAUGAGUUCUUUGCCAAGCGGCAGCUGGUAACACUUUCCUCAGCUCCCAUUUACUGCGGUGAGUUCGACAACGCAGGCGCCAUGAUGAGUGUGGACGAGACACUCAUGUGCUCCUUCCAGAUCCUCAAGCCCGCGGAGUGGCCUGAAUCUCGGGGGGCGGCCCAUCACCCCACCCCGCAAUUCUGCCAAACCCAAGAAGUAG